ACCACUGUUAAACAAUUUGUACUCUACUACUAGUUUAUAAACAUAUAUUUACAACAUGUCCUAAGCGAUGUGGGAUUUGUUAUCAAUGAAUUAGAAUUAUGAAUGGCACAAACCACUAGCUCUCUCUUAUUCUCUGUCUGUCAGCUCUCGUGCUCAUCAUGAGACAGGGCCGCUGUAAUCUUUUCUAUUGUUUCCGAAGCUGGGAUUGGAAUUUAAGAUUCUAGGGUCGAUACCACCAUCGAGCAUAUUGCAGCAAUCCAAUAUCGCUAACUGUCCUCCAAUUGUUUGAUGAAAUGCCAAUGAGUCAAGUGGUUAUUUGAAAUGUCCUCACUAGUAGGUGUGCUUACAAGGGUCUUGAGGAGAAACUAACCGAGACCCAUCGGAGUUGGAAUUCGAAGCUAGGCCUUCAAAAGAUGGGGCAUGGUGAGUGAGCACAUAUGCAAAAUUGCGAUUCUACAGGAAGCAAAGAAUAGGCUUAAUUUAGCACCACACCUCAUUAACUUUAACCAUUUCUUUUAAGUGUCAUUUUUAACAAUAGAAUGAGAUUACAUAUUUUUCAAAACACACAGUGUUGAGAAGUGAGCAAUCGUUGAUUUAAAGUUGUUCUUUACUUUAAAUCCAAAAUAAAAUGUAAAUUUUUUUACUGAUUUAUCCGUAUCAGAUUUAAUACUAUUCCAAGUUUUGAUCCUUUAUUGUAAUAAUAAGUAAGUAUG